GUGAGUAUUGGUUUUGAAAGCUGUUUAAAUGGUUAUUAUUGUUUAAAACCGUGUCUAAUGUGUGUAAAUGUUGAGAUGUCAACUUUCUAAGUUGUUGUUUAUUUGUGAGGCCGUAGAGAAACGAGAGUUGCAACAGUCCCAAUAUCUAAAUCAAAGCCUGUGAAAAUGGUCCUCCUGCCCUUCAGCCUCUUCAGCCUUCCUGGACAGUGACCUCUUCUGUACAGGCUCAUACUAAAGACAUAGAGGAGCCUGUUUACAGAUCACUACAUAGAUGACAUGUGGGAGUUCCCUGUGGCUGAAUGUGAUGCUGAACUAGGUAGAAGAGUUCCCAAGUGAGGCUGAUCCCAGAAUGUGAUGCUGAACUAGGUAGAAGAGUUCCCAAGUGAGGCUGAUCCCAGAAUGUGAUGCUGAACUAGGUAGAAGUGUUCCCAAGUGAGGCUGAUCCCAGAAUGUGAUGCUGAACUAGGUAGAAGUGUUCCCAAGUGAGGCUGAUCCCAGAAUGUGAUGCUGAACUAGGUAGAAGUGUUCCCAAGUGAGGCUGAUCCCAGAAUGUGAUGCUGAACUAGGUAGAAGUGUUCCCAAGUGAGGCUGAUCCCAGAAUGUGAUGCUGAACUAGGUAGAAGUGUUCCCAAGUGAGGCUGAUCCCAGAAUGUGAUGCUGAACUAGGUAGAAGUGUUCCCAAGUGAGGCUGAUCCCAGAAUGUGAUGCUGAACUAGGUAGAAGUGUUCCCAAGUGAGGCUGAUCCCAGAAUGUGAUGCUGAACUAGGUAGAAGUGUUCCCAAGUGAGGCUGAUCCCAGAAUGUGAUGCUGAACUAGGUAGAAGUGUUCCCAAGUGUGGCUGAUCCCAGAAUGUGAUGC